rnacentral:rRNA from 1 species
UUCCGGGAGGAUUGACAGAUUGAGAGCUCUUUCUUGAUUCGGUGGAUGGGGGUGCAAUGUCCGUUCUUAGUUGGUGGAGUGAUUUGUCUGGUUAAUUUUGAUAACAAACGAGACUCUAGCCUUUUAAAUAGGUGCGUGGUUCUCUGUACCUUGCACCCUUCUUAGAAGGACAAGCAGCUCCUAGCCGCGCACGAAAGAGAGCAAUAACAGGUCUGUGAUGCCCUUAGAU